AUUUGUGACAAUGCCACGUUGAAAAGCACGACAUCUCGUCGGGUCUGUCAAGUUAAGCAACGUUGGGCCUGGUUAGUACUUGGAUCGGAGACGGCCUGGGAAUCCCAGGUGUUGUAGACA
rfam:Brugia malayi, FR3, WGS project CAPY01000000 data, contig: ctg1511102